GACUAGGUGGCUGAGUGGUCCGAUGCGAUAGACUGGAAAUCUAUCGUCUUCGGAAGCGGCUGUUCGAAUCAGCGCCGGACU